UGGUUCUGGCAUCGAUGAAGAACGCAGCGAAAUGCGAAAAGUAAUGUGAAUUGCAGAAUUCAGUGAAUCAUCGAAUCUUUGAACGCACAUUGCGCCCGCCAGUAUUCUGGCGGGCAUGCCUGUCUGAGCGUCAUUUCAACCCUCACGCCCCCCGGGGCGUGGUGUUGGGGAUCGGCCAAGGCCCGUAAGGGACGGCCGUCCCCUAAAUAUAGUGGCGGACCCGUCGUGGCCUCCCCUGCGAAGUAGUGAUAUUUCCGCAUCGGAGCAGCGACGCGCCCCAGCCGUUAAACCCCCCAAAUCUUACAAGGUUGACCUCAGAUCAGGUAGGAAUACCCGCUGA
rnacentral:misc_RNA from 1 species